GACGAACGCUGGCGGCGUGCUUAACACAUGCAAGUCGAGCGGUAAGGCCCUUUCGGGGGUACACGAGCGGCGAACGGGUGAGUAACACGUGGGUGACCUGCCUUUAGCUCUGGGAUAAGCCUGGGAAACCGGGUCUAAUACCGGAUAUGACUCCGCGGCGCAUGUUGUGGGGUGGAAAGCCUUGUGCGGCUGGAGAUGGGCCCGCGGCCUAUCAGCUUGUUGGUGGGGUGAUGGCCUACCAAGGCGACGACGGGUAGCCGGCCUGAGAGGGCGACCGGCCACACUGGGACUGAGACACGGCCCAGACUCCUACGGGAGGCAGCAGUGGGGAAUCUUGCGCAAUGGGCGAAAGCCUGACGCAGCGACGCCGCGUGAGGGAUGACGGCCUGGUGU
rnacentral:rRNA from 1 species